UACGAAGGGGGCUAGCGUUGUUCGGAUUUACUGGGCGUAAAGCGCACGUAGGCGGAUUGUUAAGUCAGGGGUGAAAUCCUGGAGCUCAACUCCAGAACUGCCUUUGAUACUGAGGAUCUUGAGUUCGGGAGAGGUGAGUGGAACUGCGAGUGUAGAGGUGAAAUUCGUAGAUAUUCGCAAGAACACCAGUGGCGAAGGCGACUUACUGGACACAUAUUGACGCUGAGGUGCGAAAGCGUGGGGAGCAAACAGG
rnacentral:rRNA from 1 species